GCUGGCAUGGUGGUGCAUGCCUGUAGUCCCAGCUACUCAGGAGGCUGAGGUAGGAGGAUCACUUGAGCCCAGGAGGUCAGGGCUGCAGUGAGCUAUGAUGGCACCACUGCACUCUAGCCUGGGCAACAGAGUGAAACCCUGCCUCAA
rnacentral:SRP_RNA from 2 species